rnacentral:rRNA from 1 species
UAGGGAAUUUUGCGCAAUGGGGGAAACCCUGACGCAGCAACGCCAUGUGUGGGAUGAAGCAUUUCGGUGUGUAAACCACUGUCAGCAGGGAAUAAACGGCAGCUUCGGGCUGCUUUGAAUGUACCUGCAAAGGAAGCCCCGGCUAACUUCGUGCCAGCAGCCGCGGUAAUACGAGGGGGGCAAAUGUUGUUCGGAAUCACUGGGCGUAAAGGGAGCGUAGGCGGGUUUUUAAGUCAGGUGUUUAAUCCCGGGGCCCAACCCCGGACCGGCACUUGAAACUGGGAAUCUUGAAUAGUGGAGAGGUCAGUGGAAUUGGGGGUGUAGCGGUGGAAUGCGUAGAGAUCCCCAAGAACACCAGUUGCGAAGGCGGCUGACUGGACACAUAUUGACGCUGAGGCUCGAAAGCAUGGGGAGCAAACAGGAUUAGAUACCCCCGUAGUCC